AUGCUCGCUUCGGAAGCACAUAUACUAAAAUUGGAACGAUACAGAGAAAAAUAGCAUGGCCCCUGUGCAAGGAUGACAUGCAAAUUCAUGAAGCGUUCCAUAUUUUU